GAAAAAAAAAAAAAAAAAAAUCAAACAAUUAAUCACUGCUGGUGCCCAUACCAUACACAAACUAGGUCUCUAUUGUUAUUGAAUAUUAGUUAGAAGAGUGCCAUUUACAUUCAUCAACAGUCUUGGUUGAGUAGUGGGCUGUUCUGGCAGUCUGUUAGUGUUUACUGCAGCAGGUUUGCCUCCGGGUCACCUUUAUUAUGACUGUGGAGAACCUGAGGGCGGGAGCGCGCAAUCAUCACGGUCUGUGAUAUUUCUCAGGGACGGAGCUGCUUUGAGACUCUACUGCGGCGGCGAGCACAGAUUUCCUCUCACGCAAAGCCCUCAAGACUCAUUCUUUUUUGGCUUUGCUCACCUCUGGUACCUCUGGUCGAUAAGCUCCGCAUGAUUUAAGCGUUAUUGCUCCAAUUAUGCGACCCAGAACAACUUUUGCCCUUAUCUUCAGACAGUUGCUUGCUUGCGUAGCGAGAAUUGAAUCAUAUUCCUUUUGAUCGACGGAUGACCAUCAUGUUAAAUGCUGUUGGAUAUAUACCGGUUUGCCGUGUUGUUGGAUUAAACAGGGGAGGCAGCACGUUUUAAAGUGUUGUGCGACAUGGAGUCGGAUCGAUAAUGAUUUUAAUUCGGCUGUAAUACUGCUCGGACUAAAGGUAAAAGUCUUCGUUGGAGUAGAUCCUGAGAGACUAAAUAUCUGUGCAGUAGGCUAACCGCAGGGAUUAAACGCGAGUGGAAUCAAAAGAGCGGCUGAUAUGGGUUCUGUUGCUUGUGACAAGAGAUUAGCAGGCCUCCUCCUCCUCCAAGCCUCCUCCCUGCUGCUGUUCAGUUCUGGGGAAAGGAUGUGCCCCUAUAGCUGUCGCUGCGAGGGAAAAAUUGUUCAUUGUGAGUCAGCUGGCUUCCAGGAUGUCCCAGAAAAUAUUUCAAUUAGUUGCCAAGGUCUAUCCCUACGCUACAAUGACCUGCACACAAUGCUCCCCUACCAGUUUGCCCAUCUUAACCAGCUACUGUGGCUGUAUCUGGACCACAAUCAAAUCACAUUUGUGGAUAGUCGUGCUUUUCAGGGAGUGCGGCGAUUGAAGGAGUUGAUCUUAAGCUCCAAUAGGAUUUCACAGCUCCAUAAUGUGACUUUUCAUGGAGUACCUAACCUUCGCAGUCUCGAUCUCUCCUACAACAAGUUGCAGGAGCUGCAGCCAGGCCAGUUUUAUGGUCUUCGAAAACUGCAGAAUCUGCACUUGCGCUCCAACGGGCUUACGACAAUCCCUGUUCGGGCUUUUCUGGAGUGCAGAAGCUUGGAGUUUCUAGACUUGGGCUAUAAUCGGCUUCGGGUUCUAACUCGCACGGCAUUCCUGGGUUUGUCUCGACUUAUGGAGCUCCACUUGGAGCAUAACCAGUUUUCACGAAUCAACUUCUUUCUCUUUCCUCGCCUUGCUAACCUUCGUGCCCUGUACCUGCAGUGGAAUCGUAUUCGAGCUGUCAACCAAGGCCUUCCGUGGAGCUGGUACACCUUGCAGAAGCUUGAUAUUUCUGGCAAUGAGAUACAGGUACUAGAUCCUGUAGUAUUUCAAUGCCUUCCCAAUCUUCAGGUUCUCAACUUAGAGUCUAACAAACUGGCCAAUGUGUCUCAGGAAGUUGUGGCUGCCUGGAUCUCCCUAACAACCAUUAGCCUUGCAGGCAACAUGUGGGAUUGUGGGCCAGGCAUUUGUCCACUUGUUGUCUGGCUCAAGAAUUUCAGAGGCACCAAGGACACUAGUAUAAUCUGCAGCAGUCCCAAGCACCUUCAAGGGGAGAAGGUCAUGGAGGCUUCAAGGAGCUUCAUUGACUGUGAUGACUAUGAAAUUACUGCUCAGUCACCUUUAUAUCUGCAGACCUUUGAUCCGAAUUUUGACCUUACCCCUGAACCAACUGAUUCGACAAUGGCUCCUACAACACCGCCUCCACCCCUGCCUUCACCUGCCUCUGAGGCGCCCAUUCCUCCUCCACACCCUAGACCAGCUCAACGGCCCACCUUUCCCAGCCAUGCAAAUUUAGAUCCCAGAGACUCCCGUCAAUGGACACCCUCAUCUUCUGACAGCUUAUUAGUGACACCAGCUCCUGAGCAAGACAAUGCGUCAUUUCACAAAGUGGUAAUGGGUGGCGUGGCACUGUUCCUCUCAGUGUCCCUUGUCCUGUCGGUAAUUUAUGUCUCCUGGAAACGUUACCCUGGUGCCACCCGGCUAUUGCAGCAGAGUUCAGUGGGCCGAAAGCGAAGGAAAAAGAGUCAGGAGCCAGAGCAGAACCUGAGCUCCCAGCUUCAGGAAUAUUACAUGAGCUACAACCCUGCAGCCACACCAGAAGCUUUGGAGGUGCUGGGCAAUGGGACAGGUACCUGCACCUGCACCAUAUCCGGCUCCCGGGAAUGUGAGGUAUGACAUGUGAAAGCAGCCUAAAAUCAAAUCAAAUCAAAACAAAUGAACGACUCAGGAAAUAGAGAAUGAAUACACGUGUCCCAGACCGUUACCUGGAGCUUGGAUUGGAGACAUACCCACCAUACACUAAAGGGAAUGUUUUGUACCACAAAAUAAUCCACCGGCAGAAGAUUUGUGCCUAGCUACAUUUCAUCGAUAGCAUCAAGCUUUGUUCUCAUGAUACCACUCAUGCUGUCAGUGCUUCUUUAAUGGAUUGUGCUGGAUAUUACAAACGGACAUCUGAGAGACAGUCGGAACAGAUGCCUCAGAUGUAUAUUUUACUAAAACACAUUUGGAUGCCUCACUUUGUACUUUAACGCACCUGGAUACAUGUGUCAGGCGGAAGUCGUCUCCGGUGGGCCAUAUGGAGCAGGGUUAUAUAGUGCUCAAUUAAAGAGCAAUGGAACAUACCAAUGAAAGCUAUCCAGCCUUUGAUGAAUCGUCCAGCGUCAUUUGACGUCUGUGUGAACCUAUACAUAAACUAUAAACUUUGUUAAUAUACCCUCAAAUUUAGAACUCACUCUUUCCUUUGUUAUUUAAUGUAAAUCCUUGGAAAAUUUGUGUAUCAGAAUAACUAAAUAAAAUGACUGAGUUAAAACCUUUA